rnacentral:rRNA from 2 species
GGACUACAAGGGUAUCUAAUCCUGUUUGCUACCCACGCUUUCGUGCCUCAGCGUCAAUAUUGGCUUAGUGAGCUGCCUUCGCAAUCGGUGUUCUAAAACAUAUCUAAGCAUUUCACCGCUACAUGUUGUAUUCCGCCCACUUCAACCACAUUCAAGCUAAACAGUUUCAAUGGCAGUUUCGCAGUUGAGCUGCGAGCUUUCACCAAUGACUUAUUAAGCCGCCUACGCACCCUUUAAACCCAGUGAAUCCGGAUAACGCUUGCACCCUCCGUAUUACCGCGGCGGCUGGCAC